UGCUCGCUUCGGGAGCACAAUACUAAAAUUGGAACGAUACAGAGAAAAUUAGCAUGACCCCUGCACAAGAAUGACAUGCAAAUUAGUGAAGCGUUCCAUAUUUUA